rnacentral:rRNA from 1 species
ACGGGAGGCAGCAGUGGGGAAUAUUGGGCAAUGGGCGAAAGCCUGACCCAGCGACGCCGCGUGAAGGAAGAAGGUUUUCGGAUUGUAAACUUUUGUCAUCAGGGAAGAAGAAAGUGACGGUACCUGAUAAGAAAGCCACGGCUAACUACGUGCCAGCAGCCGCGGUAAUACGUAGGUGGCGAGCGUUAUCCGGAUUUACUGGGUGUAAAGGGUGUGUAGGCGGACUGACAAGUCAGGUGUGAAAUCCAUCGGCUUAACCGAUAAACUGCACUUGAAACUGCCAUUCUUGAGGGUCGGAGAGGUAGGCGGAAUUCCCAGUGUAGCGGUGAAAUGCGUAGAUAUUAGGAGGAACACCAGUGGCGAAGGCGGCUUACUGGACUGUAAAUGACGCUGAGGCUCGAAAGCGUGGGGAGCAAACAGGAUUAGAUACCCUGGUA